UACGUAGGGUGCAAGCGUUGUCCGGAAUUAUUGGGCGUAAAGAGCUCGUAGGCGGUCUGUCGCGUCGGAUGUGAAAAUCCAGGGCUCAACCCUGGACCUGCAUUCGAUGCGGGCAGACUAGAGUUCGGUAGGGGAGACUGGAAUUCCUGGUGUAGCGGUGAAAUGCGCAGAUAUCAGGAGGAACACCGGUGGCGAAGGCGGGUCUCUGGGCCGAAACUGACGCUGAGGAGCGAAAGCGUGGGGAGCAAACAGG
rnacentral:rRNA from 1 species